ACCAGGAUAGACAGCAGUAAAAGUGAGUACAUCAGAGGACAGCUCAGGUGGAGUGUUUUGACAAAGUUAAAGAGUCAAGGCUGAGACAGUUUGGACAUAGUCUGAGGGUUGGUGUGAUAGAGGCAGAUGCGGAAAAAGGACGUGAUGUGUCAAAUACAAAAAAAACCAGGAAGUCAAGUCAAGAAAGCACUUCGACCGUGUUUCACGUCAGCUACCAUGAGACUACCGAUCCUUUUAAUUUUUUUCUUUCAAGUACAAGGUGUACAAACAGCAGCAGUAGCUGAAUCACCUCAGGAAGUCUUUGGGUACUUUGGAGAAAACAUCACAUUGCCCUCAGGAGCCAACCCAUCAUGGAGUCUCAUCAAAAUUGAGUGGUCAAUAUUCACCAACAACACUUGGAUUGCCACUUCUCUGAAUGGGAAAAUAAACACUGAACGUUUCCCUCAGUACACAGGGAGACUCACUCUUAACACAACAUCAGGUGACCUAACAAUUCACAACCUGAAGGAAAGUGAUGCCAUUGAAUACACUUUAGACCUCCUCAACAGUGAGGGUGAAGACAAAGUAAAUAAGAUUAAACUCACAGUAAAACAAAAGCUGCAGCAGCCAUCCAUCCAGACAGUCACGAGCACAUCUGUAGAAAGUGGCUGUUUAAUGGUGGUGACCUGCUCUUCUCUGGAUGAGGGUGUUAACCUCUCCUGGAGUGUUGAACCAGUCAGUGUGCUCACCAUCAACAAGAGUAAUCCCAGUGACAGCUCUGCACAGCUUUUUGCAUUUGUCAGCACCAAAGAGAAUGGCAGUUUUACCUGCAUCUCCAGCAGAGAUACAGAGAGUGUUUCAUCCAAACCUGUCACACCAAAGUGUGAUAGUAAGAUCUGUGUUCCAAAUUGUACAACGCAACCUUCACCUACAUCUGUGACACAGCCCAGGGCCAGAAAUUCUAUUUGCUUCUUUGUUGGUGUUGGAGCAGGUGUCUUCAUUGCUGUUUUAAUUUACUGUUAUAGAGCAAAAAGGUCAAGAGAAAAAGAGGAAAAGAGAAAGCAGAAUGAAGAUACCAAAAAGAGAGAGAGCGCGCAAAAACAAACUGGUAAGAGUGGACAUGUAUAUACAUUAAUCAACAAAAAGAGUUAUAAUGGUAAGGUAGCUUUUUUUUUUUAACCACAAUAAUUGAUGAUGAUGAUGAUUUUACAUAACUAAGCAGUGUGUUGAACUCUACAAAUGUGGGUCUACAACCUGCUGUUAUAAUCAAUCAUAUAAGAUAAAAUGUUUGUUACUUUCUAGUUUAAUUCAAAGAGAAGGAGGAAGAGCUUGUACAAGAAGAACCAGAAAGUCCGUGUCCAGUUGUGUAUCCUAAAAACUGUAGUCUGUAGCCUCAAGAAGAAUUCCUGGUCCAGUGCUGACGGACUGAAGACCAUAUUCAAAUGAAUUAUAUAUAGAUAUAUAUAUAUGUAUGUAUAUAUAUAUACAUAUAUAUAUAUA